rnacentral:rRNA from 1 species
UACGUAGGUGACAAGCGUUGUCCGGAUUUACUGGGCGUAAAGAGCGCGCAGGCGGUCGUUCAAGUCGAGUGUGAAAGCCCCCGGCUCAACUGGGGAGGGUCACUCGAUACUGAUCGACUCGAAGGCAGGAGAGGGUAGUGGAAUUCCCGGUGUAGUGGUGAAAUGCGUAGAUAUCAGGAGGAACACCGAUGGCGAAGGCAGCUCACUGGGACGGUACUGACGCUGAGGCGCGAAAGCGUGGGGAGCAAACAGG